UCAUUUUCCCUAAUCUUGAUCAGCCGCAUAGCAAGAAAACCCUUCCAUUUUCUUUGAUCUAUCUUAUCCUAACACACACAAAUAAAGAUUUAAGUCUUGUACCUCCUACCUCAUCUCUCUCUCUCUCUCUCUCUCUCGGGUAUAAGUCCAGAUCCAAAAUUUGUUUUCCAUGGAGCACACUUGGUUUAUCAUCUUCCUCUCGAUACCCUCUCGAUACCCUCGACAGACGACCGGAGAUGGGGAAGUUCUUACCGGCGCCGUCUGUUCCGGUAACCACAACAUCCACAGCCAAACACCCCCCCCCCUCGUGCCUUCGUUUCAGGCUACGAAGAUCAGACGGAACGAGAAGGAGACGAAGAGAGAGAGAGGAUCAGAGAAGGAGACGAUGGCGGCUGUAACCGCCGGAGAUGUUGACGGCAGCGGCGGUACUGGUCGUUUUCCGGCGACUCAGCAGAGACGACAGUGACGGCGGCGACUGCCGCUGUUGACAUUGAUAAUGAUGAUGAACGUGGUGGUGAUGGUGAUAAGCCGAUGAUGAUGAUGAAGACGAACGGCUACAGCUGUUACUUUUCCGUUCAUGUACGACUCCUUUUCGGCUCAAGAUUGAUCCAGGUUAGGUUCGGAUCCACUCGGACCAGAUUGGUUGAAGUGUUCGGUCAACUCAGUACGGUUAGGUCAACCACAGGCAACGUCAAGUUUUGUUCGAGACUCGGUCACACCGAGUCGACCCGGUCAACACUCGGGUCAACUCAGUCGGGUUCGGGUCAAAGCAGUCAAGGUCAGGCAAGCUACAGGUCAACAGGUCAACGGUAGUCAACAGCAGUCAACGGAUUGGUUUCGGGUCCGAGUCAGCAUAGUCAAACCAAGUCAGUUUCGGUUUGGUCAGCCGUGGUCAACGUCAGGUCAACGUGAGGUCAAAUUCGGUCAAACCAAGACCCGGAAUAUCAUAGUCGCACACUAGCUACUUCACGUUCUUGGAAUGACACUACGGAAUCACGCUAGGCUAGGUUUGCACAGGAUUGUCAAGGAAUAUCAUAGUCGCACACUAGCUACUUCACGUUCUUGGAAUGACACUACGGAAUCACGCUAGGCUAGCUUUGCACAGGAUUGUCAAGGUCGCUAAAUGCUUG